GAGAAUUAUUGGUUUCACAUAUGCACACUCCAUUCUUCAAUCACCAUCAUGUUCAUCCUUCAAUAUCUUCAAUCUUCAUCGUCUUCGAUUCAUCCUAUGAAUCAUAUUACAACAAGCGCAAUAUUUAUACAAGAACAGAGACGAAGUCGCAACGUCAAGAUUCACUGGAAAUUGCAACGGAAGAUGCGAACAAAAGCAACGGCUGAAAGUAGAAGGGAAGAAGAAGAUACAAGAGAAGACCAAAAAUACAUGAGAUUAACUUCAUCGAAAAUGCUUCAAUCUUCAUCGCUUUUGGUGGUUCUCUAUACGAUUGUGUAG